UUUAAUUCGUGCACCCCGGGAACCUUACCUGGCCUUGAAUGUCCGGACCUUGAGAGAUGGAGAGUCUUUCGGGAAUCGGAACACAGGUGCUGAUGGUGUCGUCAGAUCGUGACGUGAGAUGUUGCGUUAAGUCCCGUAACGAGCUCAACCCUUGUCCUUAGCUACCAGCACGUUAAGGUGGGCACUCUAAGGAGACUGCCGCUGACAAACCGGAGUUAGGUGGGGUUGACGUCAAGUAUCAUUGGCCCCUUACGGCCAGGUGUACACACGUGCUACAAUGGUCGGCACAGUGCGUUGCCAAGCCGCGAGUGGCAGCUAAUCCCAUUAAAACCGAUUCGUAGUCUCGAAUCGCAGUCUGCAACUCGACUGCGUGAAGGCGGAAUCCCUAGUUAUCGCGAAUUAGAAUGUCACGGUGAAUACGUUCCCGGCCUUGUACACUCCGCCCUCACACAAUGGGAGUUGUUUGCUCCAGAAGAGCUAGUCUAACCGAAGGGGAAGGUUCCACGGAGUAUUCAUGAUUAGGGAAAAGUCGAACAUGUAACCUUACG
rnacentral:rRNA from 1 species